rnacentral:rRNA from 1 species
AGUGAACGCUGGCGGUAGGCCUAACACAUGCAAGUCGAACGGCAGCACAGUAAGAGCUUGCUCUUACGGGUGGCGAGUGGCGGACGGGUGAGGAAUACAUCGGAAUCUACUUUUUCGUGGGGGAUAACGUAGGGAAACUUACGCUAAUACCGCAUACGACCUACGGGUGAAAGCAGGGGAUCUUCUGACCUUGCGCGAUUGAAUGAGCCGAUGUCGGAUUAGCUAGUUGGGGGGGUAAAGGCCCACCAAGGCGACGAUCCGUAGCUGGUCUGAGAGGAUGAUCAGCCACACUGGAACUGAGACACGGUCCAGACUCCUACGGGAGGCAGCAGUGGGGAAUAUUGGACAAUGGGCGCAAGCCUGAUCCAGCCAUACCGCGUGGGUGAAGAAGGCCUUCGGGUUGUAAAGCCCUUUUGUUGGGAAAGAAAAGCAGCAGGUUAAUACCCCGCUGUUCUGACGGUACCCAAAGAAUAAGCACCGGCUAACUUCGUG